CUUGAGAAGAUUUCAUAAAGGAUGUCCAGCGCGAAAGUUAAUGGAAGUAUAGUAAUUUGUAAAUGUGUACAUUAUAAAGCCAUCUUGUCCUUAGUUGAGAUCCCCUUUUCAGAAACUACCUCCUAAAUAACGGGCGGUUUCAUAUUGAAAUACUUAACAUAUCCUUUGAUUUAUGUCUACCCACAUAUCCUUUGAUUUAUGUCUACCCCCUUGAUGAAGCAUUGAAACCAUCAUAUCACAAAGUAAGCUGUGUUCCAUGGCAUUUGUUUUGUUUUUCAAAAAUAUGACU
rnacentral:lncRNA from 1 species